rnacentral:rRNA from 1 species
CCUACGGGGGGCAGCAGUGAGGAAUAUUGGUCAAUGGCCGGAAGGCUGAACCAGCCAAGCCGCGUGAAGGAAGAAGGUGCCAUGCAUUGUAAACUUCUUUUGUCAAGGGACAAAAUCCGGCACGUGAGCCUGACCGCGGGUAUUUGAAGAAAAAGCAUCGGCUAACUCCGUGCCAGCAGCCGCGGUAAUACGGAGGAUGCGAGCGUUAUCCGGAUUUAUUGGGUUUAAAGGGUGCGUAGGCGGACUGUUAAGUCAGCGGUAAAAGCCCGGGGCUCAACCCCGGCGAGCCGUUGAAACUGGCAGUCUUGAGAUGUCGAGAGGUAAGCGGAAUGCGCAGUGUAGCGGUGAAAUGCUUAGAUAUUGCGCAGAACUCCGAUUGCGAAGGCAGCGUACCGGCGGCGAUCUGACGCUGAGGCACGAAAGCGUGGGGAUCGAACAGGAUUAGAUACCCUUGUAGUC